rnacentral:sRNA from 1 species
AAAUAAACUCCCCAAUUACAAACAACUCUGUCAUUUGCAUAUUGUAUGUUGAGUGCAGGUGAGAAGCUGCGUUCAAGUUCGAGCCGAGCGAAGCGAGACAGCGUUGCGCUUGUCGCAACGACCCGAAGGGCGAGGGCAAAGCCCGAGUCAUCCUGCACGACCCACCA